UACGUAGGGUGCGAGCGUUAAUCGGAAUUAUUGGGCGUAAAGAGCUUGUAGGCGGUCUGUCGCGUCUGCUGUGAAAAUCCGGGGCUCAACCCCGGACUUGCAGUGGGUACGGGGCAGACUAGAGUGUGGUAGGGGAGACUGGAAUUCCUGGUGUAGCGGUGAAAUGCGCAGAUAUCAGGAGGAACACCGAUGGCGAAGGCAGGUCUCUGGGCCACUACUGACGCUGAGAAGCGAAAGCAUGGGGGAGCGAACAGG
rnacentral:rRNA from 1 species